ensembl:lncRNA
CCGGUUACCUUCCAAGAGGGGCGCCAGCAGGGGCCUCCCGCCCGGUGUCCUCAGAGCCAACGGAACGAGACUCAGCUGCUUUAAAAAGCAAAUGAGAGUCUGUCUUCGACAAACAUACGACAUGCGAGCUCCAGCUCCAGAGCGCACGCUCUCCCAACAGGCUGUGCGCGGCCCUUUGACUGGCAGCCGGGAAGGGGCGGAGUUCUCGCGAGGCUCUGGACCCGAGUCUCGCGUGCAGCGUCUGCACACGGCCCCCGCCGCCAUCUUGAUUGCGUUGGGGAACCCGGUACAGUGCUGCCCACACAGCCAGGCUGCUGAAGGGCCUGAAGUUCCAGGUGCGAGGCCUCUCCGUCGGCCCCUGCGAGCCAAUGAAACUAGACUGAGCACGGAGGAAAAGGAAAAAAAAAGAUUAGCUUUUAUUUUCUUACCUGGAUUCUAUCUUUAUUUCUCAGGAAUUGUUAAUGUGGUUUACUGGUUCAAACCUAAAUAUCACACAAUGAAGGAAAAAUACAUUAUAGUCCUGUCCUAACAGGUGGCUCAGUGAUAAAGAACCUUCCUGCCCAUGCAGAAGAGGGAAAGAGACGCAGGUUCAGCCCCCGGGUUGGAAAGAUCCCCUGGAGGAGGGCAUGGAAACCCACUCCAGUAUUCUUGCCUGGAGAAUCCCAUGGACAGAGAAGCCUGGUGGGCUACAGUCCCUGGGGUCACACAGACACGGACAUGACUGAGCAGCUGAGCACACACAGCAUACAUAAAAUAGAAAAUACAAUGUUGGCUAGCCCUAAGAACUAAGGCAUAAAGUCCCUCCAAACACACUUGCUCAUUCCCAGCCUCAAAGAAGACACCACCCUGACACCCAUGGUCACUCGCGAGAGAUGCUGAGGAGCCUCCCAAACCAGAAUCAUCUUGGAGCUUUGUCCUCUAUUCUGUAGAUGAGCCAGCAUCCGCUGUACCUCCUCAGAUCUCAUCACAGCGUCUUAGCUCCAUCUGCACCUGGGUGUGUAUUGUGUCUGUCCGUGAGCUUUCGACCCCUGGAGGCCGGACCUAUGGGCAUCACUCUCCUUCUCUUCAUGUCUCCUUAGGAUGGAGGAAGUCAACAGAGUAGCCACUGCAGGGUCCUAUGGAAACAGAUGAGCAAACUGAGGCUGAAGGAGAUUAAUUCACUCCCCGAGGCUGCAAAGCCAACGGCACAGUCAGGAUUUGAACCCUGGCAGGCUGCUCCAGGACUGCACCCCUGACUACUGUGCUUCUAACUGAGGAGCUACGCUCUUAAUUUUUUUUUUUUUUUCCCUUAAAAUUCUGUACAGCCUUUUGGACCUGUAUCUGUAGUUUCUUGCAUAAGAAGAGUUGUGGUUCAAGUUCAAGUCAUAGAUUACAGAUUUUCUCUGGUAUUAAAAAAUGAAC